CCUACGGGAGGCAGCAGUGGGGAAUUGUUCGCAAUGGGCGCAAGCCUGACGACGCAACGCCGCGUGGAGGAUGAAGGUCUUCGGAUUGUAAACUCCUGUUGCUCGGGACGAAAUGCUUCGACCUAACACGUCGAAGUUUGACGGUACCGAGUAAGGAAGCCCCGGCUAACUCUGUGCCAGCAGCCGCGGUAAU
rnacentral:rRNA from 1 species